rnacentral:misc_RNA from 1 species
UGUUGACACAGCAAUUAUUGAUGCUAUUGGCGUCAUCAGCAGAUGUAUCCCUCCCAUAAAUCCUACUGAUCCAGACUUUCAUAUGUUUGGGACCUUGCAAAAAUUCUGAUUUUUGUUCACUUCUUUUGAGAAGCUCACUUAAUUGUCUUCAUACUCCCUGGUUAAACAUUGUAAUAGAUAUUCUGCAUCUGUUGUUUGUGAAAGAUUAUGGGUUAUACUGAUAGGUAUUUUUUAUAGAAUCUUUUGUGUUUUGUCAUUUAUUUGGUAUGUUUUUCUUCUUCAUAACUGUUUGUUAUGAUUUGUGAUACCUUUUGAUUCUAGGAUCUACGUAUGUUCACAAAGAUGUAUUAUUCAGUUUUGCUAUGGAUGCAGACCAGGAGCAGUUAUCCAAGAAACGAACUGCAGAUAUUAAUUGUGGAAUAGGCUACAUUGCUUUUGACUUUACUGCAGUUGAUGUAGUUGUAUUGUUGUCUAUUUGUUUGGUUGCAUCAUGAGGAUUUUUGGGUGUGAAUUAUUCCACACUCUCAUCAAUUGUUGUGAUUGCAAAUAUUGAUACAAGCAGCAAUUAUACAGUUAUUUUUAGUUUUCAUGUCAAUUUCAGGUAAACAGGAAAAAGCUAAAGUCUUUGAGGAAUAAUGUGUGCUUG